rnacentral:rRNA from 1 species
UCAGGAUGAACGCUGGCGGCGUGCUUAACACAUAGCAAGUACGAACGAAGCCAAAAGGAAGCUUGCUUCUUGAAGCUAGUGGCGGACGGGUGAGUAACGCGUGCGUAACCUGCCCUUCAGUGGGGAAUAACACAGAGAAAUCUGUGCUAAUACCGCAUAACGUCUUCUUGCCGCAUGACAGGAAGACCAAAGGAUUUAUUCGCUGAAGGAUGGGACUCGCGUCCGAUUAGCUAGUUGGUGAGGUAACGGCCCACCAAGGCGACGAUCGGUAGCCGAACUGAGAGGUUGAUCGGCCACAUUGGGACUGAGACACGGCCCAGACUCCUACGGGAGGCAGCAGUGGGGAAUAUUGGGCAAUGGGCGAAAAAGCCUGACCCAGCAACGCCGCGUGAAGGAAGACGGUCUUCGGAUUGUAAACUUCUUUGAUUGGGGAAGAAACAAAUGACCUACCCAAAGAACAAGUCACGGCUAACUACGUGCCAGCCGCCGC